rnacentral:rRNA from 1 species
UACGGGGGGGGCAAGCGUUGUUCGGAAUUACUGGGCGUAAAGGGCUUGUAGGUGGCCAACUAAGUCAGACGUGAAAUCCCUCGGCUUAACCGGGGAACUGCGUCUGAUACUGGAUGGCUUGAGUUUGGGAGAGGGACGCGGAAUUCCAGGUGUAGCGGUGAAAUGCGUAGAUAUCUGGAGGAACACCGGUGGCGAAGGCGGCAUCCUGGACCGAAAUUGACGCUGAGGCGCGAAAGCCAGGGGAGCAAACAGG